rnacentral:misc_RNA from 1 species
CGCCGGUUAGCUAACUUGUCGGUGCCACUGGUGCACCGUCGUUUUCCUUUUCUUUCUCGGAGCGUUUUCUCUGCAAUGAGGUUACUUUUAGUUCUGUUGUUCGUUUGUGCUUUCUUUCUCUCGCUCUCCGUCACCGAAUCCGACUCAGCGGUAGAGAUGAAUGCAACAACUGAGUCGAACGCCACGCGUUCGAGAUCCAGAGAGGACAGUUUCGCUGACAUGAUUGAUCGGGCUUUGGAGAAGGAGUUCAACGAGACCGACCAGAAUGAAUGUCCGUACUAGAUCUGAGCUUUCCUCUCUUGCUCUUUGUUUCUAUGGGCAUCCGCAUUUCGGUUUUUUUUUUU